AGGAAACCUGAAGCCAAGAAGGCUGAUUCUGGUGGCAAGGUGAAAAACGGUCACCUCAAGGCUAAAAAGCCCAAGAAGGGGAAGCCCCAUGGCGGCCAAAAUCCUGUCCUUGUCAGAGGAAUUGGUAGAUAUUCCUGAUCUGCUAUGUGUUCCAGAAAGGCAAUGUACAAGAGGAGCUACUCAGUCGCUAAGUCCAAGGCUGAAAAGAAAAAG
rnacentral:lncRNA from 10 species